UAUAUGAUUGAGGAUUGCAUAAUAAAACCGUUAUUUUCUCUAAUAACGGUCGUUAAAUUUGCGAUACUUGGAUGUAACGGCCGAUAUAAAUGACUACAACGGUGGAUAUAACAUAUCGCCCUCGGUGCCACCAUUUCUUUGUUGCCCGACCCAAACAGGCGCCGCGCCACCGAAGAGCUCCUCCUUUUCCGCUGCGCCGCGCCACCGAAGAGCUCCUCCUUUUCCGCUGCGCCGCUGCUUCCUACGUAUUCGGUUGAUCCCAAGGUAGAUACUUCCCUCGGUGGCAGGUCCUUCUACGGCCGCUUGUAGGGAUCGAAGGGCGCCACACGGCAAGCGAAGAGUUUGAUCGAGGACCAAGCGGUGCUUAUCGAUUGGAUCAGUCAUUCGAGGACGGACUCUUUGCGAUAUGUACAAGUCCAUGGGUGGGAAAGGUGAUUCUUUGCGGCCGACGAAGGAUGAGGCGCCUUCGGGGAGGCAGUGGGGUUGAUGAUUUUGAUAGUUUAUCUCGAGAAUUGGGUGAGGAAAGUCUCGGAGUUCCAGAGAUAACUAGCGAAGAGGCGAUUUGAUAGCGAUUUGGAGGAUGAAUACAAGGUCGAUGAUGAGGAGGAGAAAAUUGACUGUUUGUGCAGACAGAGAACCGUAUCUACGUCGUUUGGGUAGAACUGGUCGGAAAGGCCAGGAAGGAAUAGGGAGUCUGAUGUCGGCACCAUGGGAAGACUUCUUUUUUAGUAGCAUCAAGGACUCGCCAAUCACCAAGGCUCCAUUACCAACAGUAGAAAACAAGUAUCUGAAUCACUUCCUUUACUACCAUAUUUGUUGCUUUAUUGGCUUAAAAAUACUUAAACAAUUACAUACUCACUCUAUUGCAAUUAUGCUGAAGUAUAUAUGCCCGAUGUUUUAUAUAGCUGUAUUUUGUUGUUUGAUAAUGUGUUUUUGCCAUCUUAUGCACCUUUUUGUUUCUUUUCCCUGUAAUUUUUCACUUUUGUUGUUUGACUUGAAGCUGAUUCUGCAAUUUUUAGCUCUUCACUGUCGAAUGAUAGGUAGUUCACACUCAAUUGUAUUUAGUCAUUUUGAAGAGUGAAUUUGAGGGUACCAUCAACAGCCUGCUUUUGUCUUGGGCUUUUGCAAAGAGCUUGGAUAGAUGCUGUCAGCUGUUGUUGAUGGCUAGAAGUAGAGGGUCCACUUUGGGUACAGAGUGCUGACGACAGUCCUUGCAUCGGCAUAGAAGACUGGUGAACUAGAAUCUUGGGCCUAGAUAUCACCAAUGUGGAGUGGGCAGUGGUGCGUCCAGAGAUGAAGAACUAAGAAUCAGCAUAUCAACCAUGGCUUGAAUUAUGUAGUUCCAGUAAAAAUAUUGGUUCAGAAUCAGCUUGUAACUCUUGCUAAUGUGUUUAGCCCAGGCAUAAUACUCAGCCCCUGGUUUACAAGCAAGAAGACACAUGGCUUCUACCCUAUAAACAAAAUGGAGCAGUUUAAGAUUUUUCUACAAAACUACAUGAUGCUUCAAUUUAUUCUCAACCUUUGUCUGGCCAGUUUGAUCAGUUCUCUCACCGUUCUUUGGACAGAGAGUUGUUUCUCACAUGCUUCAAUAUGGUUUUAUUGUUGGCUGUUAAUUGGGUAUGGGUGAUGGAAAAGAAAUCCUGUUGUCUUAACUUGUACCAUUAGGAAAAUACAUUUGGAAUGCAAAAUCUUAUAGCUUGUUGGAUCUUGCAUCGGCUCUUCUUCUGGACCGAGAAAGAUCGUGGCGAAGGCUUGAUGAGUACAUAGCGGAUGGCACUAGAUACUGCAUCUCGGUAACUAAAAUUACUCGGCCGCAAUUAGCUGAUGGAGUGGUCAUCAUUCUUGUUCAUUGUAAUUGUGAAUUGAUAUAUAUGGUGUAGUUCUUGCUCAUUCAAAGAUAUUUUCUGUAA